CCUACGGGCGGCAGCAGUGAGGAAUAUUGGUCAAUGGACGAGAGUCUGAACCAGCCAAGUAGCGUGAAGGAUGACUGCCCUAUGGGUUGUAAACUUCUUUUAUAUGGGAAUAAAACGUUCCACGUGUGGGAUUUUGUAUGUACCAUAUGAAUAAGGAUCGGCUAACUCCGUGCCAGCAGCCGCGGUAAUACGGAGGAUCCGAGCGUUAUCCGGAGUUAUUGGGGUUAAAGGGAGCGUAGGUGGAUUGUUAAGUCAGUUGUGAAAGUUUGCGGCUCAACCGUAAAAGUGCAGUUGAAACUGGCAGUCUUGAGUACAGUAGAGGUGGGCGGAAUUCGUGGUGUAGCGGUGAAAUGCUUAGAUAUCACGAAGAACGCCGAUUGCGAAGGCAGUUCACUGGACUGCAACUGACACUGAGGCUCGAAAGUGUGGGUAUCAAACAGGAUUAGAUACCCGAGUAGUC
rnacentral:rRNA from 1 species